CUGGAUGUAGCUCAGGAGGAGAGCGCUUGCUCGGGAUGCAAGAGGCCGCUGGUGCGAUUCCAGUCUUCCAGA
rnacentral:tRNA from 2 species